GCAUAUCAAUAAGCGGAGGAAAAGAAACCAACAGGGAUUGCCUUAGUAACGGCGAGUGAAGCGGCAACAGCUCAAAUUUGAAAUCUGGCCCUUGGGUCCGAAUUGUAAUUUGUAGAGGAUGAUUUUGGUGCGGUAUCUUCCGAGUUCCUUGGAACAGGACGCCUUAGAGGGUGAGAGCCCCGUACGGUUGAAUGCCUAGCCUCUGUAAAUCUCCUUCGACGAGUCGAGUAGUUUGGGAAUGCUGCUCUAAAUGGGAGGUAAAUUUCUUCUAAAGCUAAAUAUUGGCCAGAGACCGAUAGCGCACAAGUAGAGUGAUCGAAAGAUGAAAAGCACUUUGAAAAGAGGGUUAAAUAGCACGUGAAAUUGUUGAAAGGGAAGGAUUUGUGACCAGACUUUUUCUGGGCGGAUCAUCCGGGGUUCUCUCCGGUGCACUUCGCCCAGUAAAGGCCAGCAUCGGUUUUCGGCGUGGGAUAAAAGCAGUAGGAAUGUGGCUCUCUACGGGGAGUGUUAUAGCCUAUUGUAUAAUACCGCGCUGGGGACCGAGGUUCGCGCUUCUGCAAGGAUGCUGGCGUAAUGGUUAUCAAUCACCCGUCUUGAAACACGGACCAAGGAGUCGAACAUUUGUGCGAGUGUUUGGGUGUUAAACCCUCACGCGUAAUGAAAGUGAACGGAGGUGAGAGCCCUUACGGGUGCAUCAUCGACCGAUCCUGAAGUUUUCGGAUGGAUUUGAGUAAGAGCAUAACUGUUCGGACCCGAAAGAUGGUGAACUAUGCGUGGAUAGGGUGAAGCCAGAGGAAACUCUGGUGGAGGCUCGCAGCGGUUCUGACGUGCAAAUCGAUCGUCAAAUCUGCGCAUGGGGGCGAAAGACUAAUCGAACCAUCUAGUAGCUGGUUACCGCCGAAGU
rnacentral:rRNA from 1 species